rnacentral:rRNA from 1 species
UACGAAGGGGGCUAGCGUUGUUCGGAAUCACUGGGCGUAAAGCGUACGUAGGCGGAUCGUUAAGUCAGGGGUGAAAUCCCGAGGCUCAACCUCGGAACUGCCUUUGAUACUGGCAAUCUUGAGUCCGGGAGAGGUGAGUGGAACUCCUAGUGUAGAGGUGAAAUUCGUAGAUAUUAGGAAGAACACCAGUGGCGAAGGCGGCUCACUGGCCCGGUACUGACGCUGAUGUACGAAAGCGUGGGGAGCAAACAGG